UACGAAGGGUGCAACCGUUGCUCGGAAUUAUUGGGCGUAAAGCGCACGUAGGCGGCUUUGCAAGUCGGAUGUGAAAUCCCUCGGCUUAACCAAGGAAGUGCAUCCGAAACUGCAGAGCUUGAGUACUUAAGAGGAUCGCGGAAUUCCCGGUGUAGAGGUGAAAUUCGUAGAUAUCGGGAGGAACACCAGUGGCGAAGGCGGCGAUCUGGGAAGAUACUGACGCUGAGGAGCGAAAGCGUGGGGAGCGAACAGG
rnacentral:rRNA from 1 species